GCUUAUCUGUGUAAUCUAGCCUUGACGUAGACGUGGCCAAAGAACCGUGCCUGCCCUGCGGCGUUGCUCUAUAUCGUAACUGACUUUAGCUUCAUUACACUGCUCCCCUCUUUAUGAAAAAGUUUAUGAGCUAUAUUCUAUAGCGAAGAACUUUAAGGUUAUAUUGUACGUUUUUUAUUCAUGUUAUGCCCUUUUCUUUUGAAAAAAUAGUGUGUUAAUCCCCUCUUCCAAAAACUUAACUAUUCCUUAAUUAAUCUGUCGUCUUUAAUUGUCCGUGGGAGUAUCUCCGUGGCUCCGUCGGUUCAUUUGCGUGGCUUCUCCGUGGGGCUUCUCCGUGUGGCUUCUCCGUGUUAGUGGACUGCGCUCGGACGAUGUUUCGUUUGAGUUUCUCGCUCCAGAACAUCAAGGCGUCGUAUCUGCGUCGAUGGCAGGACUCCAUGUAGUCGUAGUAAGACGUCCGAAGUCGAAGUAGCAGGUUGGGGGUCGCUCUUGGGGUUGCGUGUAGGGGUAGGGGGGAAUAUAUUCGGGAGUGGGAAUGUGAGUGUCCGAUGGGAUCCAUCUGAGGAAGUAGGCGGGGGGGAGGGUGGAUGUCGGUGGGGGUGGAGGUGUAAGCGUGAGCGAACAUGGCAUCGGGGUGACAGCGAGAACUGGUCUUCCUGGAGUGUUGAACCUGGUUGCUAGGCGACGGCGGCGAUCGGCAGUCUCGAAGUGUCGGAUCUGCUGCCCGUGGUGCGUGGCGUUCGUGGUGGUUGUAGUGUCCGUGGUAGUGGUGGUGUCCGUUGUUAGUGCUGGUGUCCGUGGUGGUGGUGUCGUUGUCGUUUGGUUCAGCUGAUCGGCAGUGUAGAAUAUCUGGUGUGGUAAUGACUUGGUAGAAGAGUAGAGAAGGAUUAGACAUCGUGAACGUUAUAAUGCAACGCACAAUGCAAGUCUUCAUGCAGGAUAAUACUCAACCGCACGUUGAUCACGGUGUUUUCCAGGUUUAGAAUCGUUUGGGUAUGGUCGCCUUGUUGUAGUUUGUAUCCACGGUGUUAGCAUAUAAGUAGUGAUGAGACAGAAAUGCUGUUAAAACUGAUAAACAUAGGAUUAUUCACUGGUCGUGAAUAUCAUAAUCAAAAACCGAACGAAAUAAACAAAGUCGAAGGUGUUAUAAGAACGCCUUCCAACAAGUUAUACAUGUAUGAAAAAAAAAUCCCGUAAUUACGUAAUUGCAAAAAGAAAAUAUAAUCUAAAGAAAUAUAGAUUGAAAAACAACAUAGAUAAAACGAAAUUGCAAUGAAAUCAAAAAGGUAAGCAUGCGAUAAACGUGUAACAUCGUACUCAAUACAUAAACUGUAAUAUGCUCUAAAAGUACACAGAAGUGAAAUCAUAAAAAUUUAAACAUAUAUUAUGUGGUCAAAAAAACUGAAAGUAGUAGGUGGUCACCAACAAACAGAAAUACGUGCCGUUUACUGACACUAGUGCACCUCUAUACCUGAAAAUACUAAAUCAGUUAGAAUCUGCGCCUGAUCAUACAACAUGAUUUGCUCGAAUAUCACACAAUCGGAUAUAUGGGGGUGGGGCGAGUGGUUAAAGCAUAAUCAGUUAAAUCCCUGAUAUAAUAUCUCUGCGUGUGCUAUCUAGAACUCUCGCUGUAGUACUGUCGUAUGGCUGGGGAAAAAAAAUUGAAAAACAAGAAAAGAAUAAUAAUAACAAUAACGAAGUGCUAUGAUCUCUCACUGUUGGAUUAGUGUUUUGCGUUCGUUGCAGGGCUUCAACAGCUUAGUAGGUGAUCACUCCUACCAAGGCACUAAUUGCUGAUCAACGCAAAUGACGUCCCGUUUAUCUAACCUGUAGUUAAUCAGAGGGAGUCGUCUAGGACUCUAGGCGGCUCUCAAGUAUCGUCAUAACCGAAUAUGCGUGCAUAAAUGUACGUUGCAUAAUGAAUUUAAACAGGUAGACGGUGGGUGGGUGGUUGUUUUUCGGGCCCUAGGGGGGUACAAAUCGCAGUGACAUGAGCACUGUAAAUGUGAGUGGCAUGUUAUUAUUUGUUCUUCAACCUGGUUGACCUUGUCUCAAACCCUGUAUAUACGAAAAAAUAUAGCCACAUAGGUGCCCUCAAACCGUUGUUAGUGAAUGGUGUGAAAUUUCGCUGCGCGAUUGAUAGUACAAUCCUGGGGCUACACGACGGCUCUCUGACCUCGUUAACCGUUAAUGACUUUCGUCUCACCUUCACUUUCGUAAAUCUUUGUGGACGAAUUUUCUCAGCGAUUCUCUCUCUUACUUCCUGACUCUCUGUCAUGGCUGUGCAAUAUAAUGACACUGUGGUACCACUGUACGUAUGUAUGUAUGAAAUGGCAUUGUACAACGCAGUUGAGAAACUCACAAGGCGGGCGAUGAUGAUAGUGGGGCGGGCGGGUGGAGAAAGUAGAUCAUAAAACAUACGGAUUAAAACUAUUGUUUUCCCCAGUUUCAUUACGACAACUGAAAAAAC